UAGGGAAUCUUCGGCAAUGGGGGGAACCCUGACCGAGCAACGCCGCGUGAGUGAAGAAGGUUUUCGGAUCGUAAAGCUCUGUUGUUAAGGAAGAACGAGUGUGAGAAUGGAAAGUUCAUACUGUGACGGUACUUAACCAGAAAGGGACGGCUAACUACGUGCCAGCAGCCGCGGUAAUACGUAGGUCCCGAGCGUUGUCCGGAUUUAUUGGGCGUAAAGCGAGCGCAGGCGGUUAGAUAAGUCUGAAGUUAAAGGCAGUGGCUCAACCAUUGUAGGCUUUGGAAACUGUUUAACUUGAGUGCAGAAGGGGAGAGUGGAAUUCCAUGUGUAGCGGUGAAAUGCGUAGUUAUAUGGAGGAACACCGGUGGCGAAAGCGGCUCUCUGGUCUGUAACUGACGCUGAGGCUCGAAAGCGUGGGGAGCGAACAUG
rnacentral:rRNA from 1 species